rnacentral:rRNA from 1 species
CUUGAACGCUGGCGGCAGGCCUAACACAUGCAAGUCGAGCGAGCGGCGGACGCGUGAGUAAUGUCUGGGAAAAUGCCUGAAGGAGGGGGAUAACUACUGGAACCGGUAGCUAAUACCGCACACCAUCCGAUGUGCCCAGAGGGGAUUAGCUAGUAGGUGGGGUAAAGGCUCACCUAGGCGACGAUCCCUAGAUGGUCUGCGAGGGUGAUCAGGCAAACUGGAACUGAGACACGGUCCAGACUCCAACGGGAGGCAGCAGUGGGGAAGAUUGGACAAUGGGCGAAAGCCUGAUCCAGCCGUGCCGCGUGUGUUAAGAAGGUCUUCGGAGUGGAAAGCACUUUAAGUUGGGAGGCGUUUCCAACAGAAUAAGCACCGGCUAACUUCGUGCCAGCAGCCGCGGUAAUAC